rnacentral:misc_RNA from 1 species
UGACUGAGGCUUUCUUUAGUACGAAAGGACCAAGAAAGCAGGACCAAUACUAACCGCACGUCCUCAUAGCAAAGUUGAAAACAACUCAAACUACUCCUCACCAGCCCAACCGAAGACAACGGUUUUGUUAGGGUGGCAGAGCCAAGCAUUGCAAAAGACCUAAGAUCUUUCUAACAGAAGUGCAAAUCUUCUUCCUAACC